ACGCUCGACACCUACAGGAGGCAGCAGUGGGGAAUAUUGCACAAUGGGGGAAACCCUGAUGCAGCGACGCCGCGUGAGCGAAGAAGUAUUUCGGUAUGUAAAGCUCUAUCAGCAGGGAAGAAACUGACGGUACCUGACUAAGAAGCACCGGCUAAAUACGUGUCAGCAGCCGCGGUAAUCUGAGCGGGCUGGCAAGGC
rnacentral:rRNA from 1 species